rnacentral:rRNA from 1 species
GACGAACGCUGGCGGCGUGCUUAACACAUGCAAGUCGAACGGAAAGGCCCUGCUUUUGUGGGGUGCUCGAGUGGCGAACGGGUGAGUAACACGUGAGUAACCUGCCCUUGACUUUGGGAUAACUUCAGGAAACUGGGGCUAAUACCGGAUAGGAGCUCCUGCUGCAUGGUGGGGGUUGGAAAGUUUCGGCGGUUGGGGAUGGACUCGCGGCUUAUCAGCUUGUUGGUGGGGUAGUGGCUUACCAAGGCUUUGACGGGUAGCCGGCCUGAGAGGGUGACCGGCCACAUUGGGACUGAGAUACGGCCCAGACGCCUACGGGAGGCAGCAGUGGGGAAUAUUGCCCAGUGGGCGGAAGCCUGAUGCGGCACCGCCGCGUGCGGGAUGACGGCCUUCGGGUUGUAAACCGCUUUCGGCCGUGACGAAGCGUGAGUGACGGUAAUGGGUAAAGAAGCACCGGCUAACUACGUG